rnacentral:rRNA from 1 species
GAUGAACGUUGGCGGCGUGGAUUAGGCAUGCAAGUCGAGCGAGAACCCCGCAAGGGGGGACAGCGGCAAACGGGGUAGUAAUGUGUCGGAACGUGCCCUCAGGUCGGGGAUAGCGGCGGGAAACUGCCGGUAAUACCCGAUGACCUCGAGAGAGCAAAGGUGUGACUCCGCCGGAGGAGCGGCCGACAUGGUAUUAGCUAGUUGGUGAGGUAACGGCUCACCAAGGCGAUGAUGCCUAGGGGAUGUGAGAGCAUGAUCCCCACCAUUGGGACUGAGAAACUGCCCAGACACCUACGGGUGGCUGCAGUCGAGAAUCUUCGUCAAUGGGCGAAAGCCCGAACGAGCGACGCCGCGUGCGGGAUGAAGGCCCUUGGGUUGUAAACCGCUGUCGAGGGGGAUGAAGGCAUUCAGGUACUCCUGAAUGUUUGACAGAGCCCUGGAGGAAGCACGGGCUAAGUUCGUGCCAGCCGCCGCGGUAAUAC